GAGAUUUAUGGUCGGCAAACUGAGCUUCCUCUUGUGUUGAAUCCUUCCGGGAACUUUCCGGCACAUCACAGGUCUCUGUCCUUGGUGACUGUAAAAUGCGUCGUUCCUCUUUCUCUCCAACGUUUUUGCACUUAUCUGCAUAUAAGACAAUAGAAAACAAGGGUGCAUGUUGUUUGAAAGAGGACUGGUUAAGGUGGGGAACUAGCUAAAGAUGAACUAGCCAUUCAGGAUCAACAAAAGGGUAAAGGAGUCCUGAAUGUAUGAUUCGUUUCCCUGGUCUAAUGCAUCAAUGAGAGAAUUAAGUCCAAAUUAAGUCCAAAUAAAACAGAGUUAGUGUACUUCGUUUCAAAUGUGCUUUGCUACCGCCUAGUCUAGUCCUAAAUCAUGAAUGAGCAUGUCACUAGGAACAGUCUAAAAGCACACAGUCAACUAUCAUUGAUUCAUGUUCACCAUUCCCUUUUAAAACGUAUUUUGUUUUGAAAACCGAUUUUGAAAAACUUUAAGGAAAAUGCAAAAAGUGUAGAUAAUGCAAGACUCAUGAAAGAAAAGUGGUUAGAAAGGGAUGAAAUCCUCCCCUAGACUUAAAUCACACUGUAUUCAGUGUGAAACAAGUCGAGAUUGGAUGAGAAAAAUGCAUAGAUAAUCGAAUUGGUAAGGCCAAAGAGAACUUACCUAGAUCCGGGAUGCUGGUGGUGAUGGACCGGAUUCAUUCGAAGAGGUUUUGGAAGGUGAUAAGUGGUGGUGAAGGUGGUGGAGGAUGAUGAAUGAGGUGGAGUGGGGAUUGGUGAGGUGGAAUGAGGUGAAGUGGGUGGUUUGGGGUCGGGUUUGAUCUCAACGACCAUUUGCUGCGGUCAGGAGCCACGCGACCGCGGCAAACCGGUGCUCGGCCGCGGUCAGAAAGACAUGGCCACGGUCGAUCAUGCAUUUCCCGCGGUCAAAGCAUCUGCGACCGCAGGGGCUUAUAUCGCGGCCUGUUCCUGCUUCUCCUUGGUUCCUGCUGGGCCGAGCAAUCAGGGACCAUCCUUCUUUUUGUUUUUUUUUUCGGGUUUUUUUGAUUUUUUUGGCUUUUUUGUUUUAUAAGAAACACCUGAAACUAAGAAAAAGGAAAAGAUCAAUAGAAAAAGAAAGAAAAAUCCUAAAGAAAACAAUACCUAAAUGGGUUGCCUCCCAUUAAGCGCUUCUGUUUUAAGUCGUUUAGCUCGACUUUUGGUGUUGGACGUGGCUUAGUCCAAUGAAGAAGACCUUGUCCUGAAACAAGUCUUUUUCGACAUCUCCUUGUUUUGCCUAGCAGGUUCUUCGUCACUCCAAAGUUUUUCUUCAAACUCUUCUGUUGCAGAACGUUUUUCUGCUUUGCUGUUGUAUAGGACAGCUUCUGUGAAGACAUCGUUGUCGAUAUUUGCAAAUGAAAUCCUCCAGUUUGGCCAGUCCAUUAUAGCUCCGGAAGUUGCUAGAAAAGACCAUCCGAGAAUCACUGGAUAUGUUGCGUCUCUCGUCUCGACAAUGUAGAAGUCAACAUGCACUAUGCAAUCUCCUAUUCUCAAAGAAAUUUCAUGAACUAUUCCUUGAGGCGUUGCAUUGGAAUCAUCAGCUAGACUAAUCUUUGCUCUAGUCCUGCGUAGGUGGUUAAUACCAAGUCUCAAAGCAAUUGUCUUGGACAUCACGUUAAGACAAGCUCCAGAAUCACAAAACACGUUUUUAAACAUUUCUCCUCUAAUAGAAGAAGAGAUAAGGAACUGACCUGUAGUCUUGACCUUAUAGAGAAUUCGAACUUGCCUUUCUCUGUAGGUGUUGGCUGGUGUUUCAAACGCAGAAUAGGAUUCACAAAACAAAAGCUGCAGCAUCGUAUUCAAUGAUUGAAUCAAUGUAUGGCAUCUUUAUCUUGAUGUAUAUCGGGUCUUCUUGAAUUGAAGAGUCAGCUGAAUCUUCAACACAUUCCUUUGCCAUCAUACAAGGUAAUGAUUCCUGCCAAUCUGUUUCUUCAUCUGAAACUUGGUUUUCUUCUUCCUGAGUUGCUUUUUUAGGUGCUGGAGGUUGAAGUUGGGACAAAAGAUGUAUUAUUUUUCUCUCAAAUCCCGGAGGUGAAUCUGAACGACCAACUCCUGCGGUCAGAGGCGUCGCGACCACGGGAAAAGGAGCCUUGGCCGCGGUCAUAACGCUCGGACCCGCGGCUCCGGAUAUAAUUUGCUCAUAGUCCGUUUCUUCCUUCUUGUACUUGACACGAACUUCUCCAGCUUCUUUAUUUGGUAGACCAGCAUCAUAUGAACUCAUACCAGGGCGUUGUUGUGCAUCUUCAUCAGGAUCUUUGGUAGAUUUCUUAGAAAAUCUCCCAAUUUGCUCAAUAUUGGGCAUCUGUUCCAUUCUUGCAUCAAUCUCCCGUGCUUUGAGCUCGAGUUUGUUCAGCCUGUGAUCGAUCUCCUGUAACUCUUCGUCAGUCUUCUCUCUAUACCAGGAGGCGGAUUCUCUGACUUCUUUGAUCUCCUGCUUCGAUUCGACAAUAUCGCUUGAGUUCUGUAUGAUGUCAUACCCUUGUCUUGUCUGCUCUGUUGCGACUUGGUGGAUCAUCCCAGCUAGUGUUUGUGCGUCCUUGUGGGUUUGUUCUUCCAGAACUCGAACAUGAUUGGCCAGAUCAUCGAAUUUUCUGUUGAACUCUUCAGAGAUUGAAUCAAUUCUCUUGAGCAAGGUGUUUUCGGUGAGAAUCUGCUGAUCAAGGAACUAGUUUAUCAUUCCUUCGAGGCGUUCCAAACGUCUGCUGAUCCUCAAAUUGUCCUCUUGCUGACUAGGGUUCUGCAGUGGAGGAUUAUAGGCAUGUGGCUCGAAGUAGGUCAGAGGAGGACCAUAAGGAUCUUCCCGGCGUCGAACAGACUCUCUGCGCCGGUGGUAUGGAUGAUUUGGCUGGCUGUAUCGAUCCAUGUAGCUCAGAUCUCAGGCUUGGUGUUCUUCUCUGCGUCUGGUGGCUUGAGGAGUGUUGUAGAAACCUUCCUCAUAGUGUGGAUUUCGAUUUAUAGGAUCCAUAUCUUCUGAAAUGGAAACAAAAUAACCGAAAAUGGAAAUAUGUAGAAAAAGGGGUUCUAGAGUCGAUUUACCAACCUUUCUUAGGGUUUUGCGGAAAAGAAAAGGCGUGCCUUCCCUGGCAACGGCGCCAAAAACUUGAUGUGGUGUGUCGUGAGGGUGUCAAGUUUUACCCUAAAUGAAAUCAAUAGCCGCAAGUGCACAGCUGAUCGAUUGUAGUAGUUAGGGAUCGAAUCCACAGGGAAGGAGGAUCUUUCCUACAAAAGCCUUUGAAAGAAAUAUAAAGUAAGGAAGUCUAGAACCAAGCGAGUUUUGUGAGGGUUUUGGUGGUGUGUUUAAAACGUAAAAACGAAUCCUAAAGAGAAAAUACGGUAAUUAAAAUGACCUAAUAACUAAACUUAACGAAAAUGGGUAAAAACGAGAAAAACGGGUAAACCAAAUUGCUUUAAUAAAAAUCGAUUGAAAGAGAAUGAAAAUAGUGAACUAAAGCUUGAAAUAAAACGCUGUAAAUCUAUAAGAAAGAAAGCGCGGGGUUCAGGGAAGUUUUCUCAGGGGUAUGAACGAUUCAAAACAUUGCUAGAGAGUAAAUUUGAAAAGAUCUUAGCUUAAUCUUUUCGAACUGGAGUCACGGACGUAUGAAUACACCACCGUCGUGAUCAUAGACAACUAUCUCUCUCAACCCUGACCAGUAGGUUUCCACUCUGGCCCUGAAAAAGAAGAGAUGCAUUAUGUUUAAGACUCGUCAGCAUUCACAAAUCGCCCAUAGGUAGGUUUCCACUCCUAUGUUUGUUUUGCUCUCCCAAACUAGAUCUGACACCGGAUGAACACUUUCGUGUCACCAAGCAUCUGGAUCAGAUCGUAGUUCAUGACGCUACUUUCAUGCAGUAAAAACGAAUUCAGAAGAAAAAGUUCUAAGAUUCGGCUCAAUAGCCAAUGGAAUCCUCACCAAACAUAUAUAACCCCAUCAAAAAUCCCUUAGUCCCAACAAUAAAACUACUCAGACAUGAUAAACGAAAUCAAAAACAUAGUUGUGAAGAUAUGGGCUUUGGAUCAAUAUUAUUCACUUGGGCCAGAAGUUUCAGACAAAGCCAUAAAGCCUAACAUAUAUGGAUCACGUACGUCAUUAUGCGUUACAAGUCGGCUAUGGGUUGUUGGAUAUAAGAAGAAGUCGUGAGUUGAAGCAAACCCUAACAUAGAAACUAGAGAAAAAAGAGACGUAGUACAAGCAAGAGAAAUAGACGGAGAGAGAACAAAGGAGAGAGAAGUGAAAAAAGGAAUCCAAGAGAGCAACGAAGGAAGUUCGAGUCUUCUUUGUCGUGUGCUGUGAUUCAAAGUUUCUUUUCUUCUAUUGUUCUAAUCUGUGACUUGUACUUGAACACAAAGAGAGCGCCGGUUAGUGCGUUUGUGUAUUCUUUGAUUGAUAGUGGAGGUUGUGGGAGACGGUUCCCACCCCAGAUGUAGUGGUUCGAGGUUGUGAACUGGGUGAUCAAACUUUUGUGUCAUUUAAGUUUCUAAUCAUCUAAUAGAUCCUAAGAUCUAAGCACUGAGGAUAAGUUAAAAAUCCUUACAAGUGGUAUCAGAGCGUAACCGCAGCUCAAGCGUGGGCUACUCUUGAGAGGCUUUACAUGGCAAAGACUUUGCCUAAUCGGGUCCAUUCUCAGCUUAAGGUGUAUUCUUUUAGAAUGCAGGAUUCAAGAUCAAUUGAUCAGAAUGUAGAUGACUUCUUGAAGUUGAUUGCAGAUUUGAGCAACCUCAACAUUGAGAUACCAGAAGAGGUUCAGGCAAUACUGCUACUCAACUCUCUUCCCCCUAGGUAUGAUUCUUUAAAAGAUACUCUUAAGUAUAGUAGGGAAGCUAUUGUGUUGGAGGAAGUAGCUAGUGCUGCAAAAUCUAAGGAGAGAGAGCUGGCUGAAAAUGAAAAGCUUUCAAGAUCAGAUGGAGAAGGGUUAUAUGUUGAGGCUAGAGGCAGAUCAGAAAAGAGGUCAGAGAAUGGAAGAGGAAGGUCUAAGAGUAGAGGAAAGAAAAACAACAAAGGUUGUUUUAUCUGUGGAGAUGAAGGACAUUGGAAGCGGGAAUGUCCUCAUAAAAAGAAACCUGCAGACUCUGCAAAUGUUGCAACAGAUACAAAAGAACCAAUGGUGUUAAGUGUCAGUUCGCAAGAUACUAAGAAAGAAUGGAUUAUGGACUCGGGAUGUUCAUACCAUAGUACAUCAGACAAAGAAGUCUUGUUUGGCUUCAAGGAGUUUGAUGGUGGUAAAGUUCUGAUGGCUAAUAACACUCAUUGUGACAUCAAAGGAAUGGGAAUGAUUCAAAUUCAGAACCCAGAUGGUUCUGUAGUGAUACUCAAGGAUGUGAAAUACAUACCAGAGGUGAGUAGGAAUCUUAUUUCUUAUGGGAUGUUAGAAAAAUCAGGUUGCAGGUAUGAAGGAGGUAACUUCAAGGUUCAGUUCUACAAAGGCAAGAAGAAGGUAAUAUCUGGAAAAUACCAAGGUGGUUUGUAUUAUCUUCAAGGCACAGUUUCUAAAGUUGACGUGAACAUGCCAAAAGCUGAGGUAGAAGUGAAAAAAGAAGAAGUUAAAGAAGGUGACAUUCAGUGAGAAUCUGAUUCAAGGACCUACUCCAUAUCGUUUUGAAACAAGGGAUUCAUCAGCUCAAGGUGAAGACUUUUCUUCGUCAGAAGAAUCUGAAAGUUCGGCAGAAAGUGAGUCUAAGGAGAGCAAGGAAGAAUCUGAGAAAGAAUUUUCACUAGAUGAGUACGUGAAAAGUGAAAAGCAAAAACUUUGGACAAGUGUUGAAGAAGAGGAGAGAUUGAACAAAGGACUUGGAGGUAAAAGAAUUGGGAAAGGUUUCAGAAAUUUUGGAAACGGGUAUCUUCGGAGGUAAAGCUAAAGGAGAUUUAGUUUUACCUACAGUUCUCACAAGUAAAAGUCCAGCAGAGUUUGUAAGUGAAGCAGUACCUGAACAAAAAGCUCAGGUGUGCUGCGAUCUUCUCAACAUAGUCUAAGAUUGGUACGGCUCCAGGUAACUCCAUAUUAUUGGCAUGGUACUCUCGCAGGAAGAACACAGAAACGGUCGGUUUCGGAAAUGUUCUUAUGUCGAUAAUUAAUGGAUUAGAGGAGUUACCUGUAGGCAUCUGAAAUCAUGGUGAGGAGACUUUGAUUCCAGGUGGAGCUGUUGGGAGAUUCAAGGGAAGACAUGUGAGCUGUGUUUUCAUGAAUCUGGGAAGCAAGUCGAGAGUACAAGGUUCAGGUUAAGGGACUUACCUGAGGUCAUCUAAGUAGCUAAAGAACAUGGGCUGUUCAUCGGAAGGAGCUGCAAAGAAGAUGAAAUUGAAACUGAUUAGUUUCAGGUGGAGUAGCUGGAAGUGAUUCAUGAAGAGGUUGAUUCAAAGCUCAGUGCACAUGAGAUGAAUCAACAGGUCGACAAAGAUGAAUCAAGUUUUCUGGAGAAGCUACGAAGUAUGAAAUCAAUAAUUAAGAUUUCAUGGUGUCUUGGAAGUAUUUUAAGAUACAGAGAAGAAAAGGAGAUGAUUCAGGUCAGAGGGUUACCUGAGUUCAUCGGAGAAGUUGUGUUUUUCCGCUGCUGCGUAAUAAAGGACUGAAAUUUCAGAAUUGGGAAUCUCAGAAAGGGUCAAUUUCAAAUCAUCACAGCAAGGAGAUGAAGAGGAAAUUGAGGAUACCUGAGAUUACAGAAGAUUAUUGCGACAGAAGAAUCGCAGGAGAUGAAUUUUUUCUUUUUUUUGGUUUGAGAAAAUUUGCAUCUAGUUUCACUAUCGGGAAAAAUCAAAGAGGAAUUGACACUUUGGAGCUUGAAUGGUGACGUGUGAGGGCAGUUGAAGAUACCAGAGAGUGUCGACGGCGACGACAUCACCGGAAAUGAAAAACCCAGGUUGAUCUCUUGAAAUCGCGAUUGAGAGAGAUGAUGGGAAAUUUGGUGACAAGGAUCGAAAUUGGUUGAGCCCAAUGAUGUCGCAAGCUUCAGAGUUUGUCAGAAGUGGUCGAGGUUUGAGAGUUCGCCGGAGUUGAAGUUGCAGAAUGGGAUUUGCAUCUCAGGCGAAGUAGAAGCUUCGAUGAAGAAGAAAACGUGAAAAGAAGAUGAUGGGAAGGUGGGCCUGUGGAGAUUGUGAAGAUAUGGGUUUUGGAUCAAUAUUAUUCACUUGGGCCAGAAGUUUCAGACAAAGCCAUAAAGCCUA
rnacentral:lncRNA from 1 species